rnacentral:lncRNA from 10 species
AUGUGGGAGUGUCUGCGGGACACUGGCCGGAGCGUGUGUCUUUCACAGAUUGCACCAAGCCUGGGCGGAGAGUACAUGGUUCUGCACAGGGGUCGGGGUCUGUGGCCUUGGUACCUCCCCAGCCAGAAGAUCACACGUGCCCCUGGAUCUCACAGCCUCUUCAGGAGCGAGCCCUGGACAGCAUUGUCAACAAGACGGGUGCUCGGUGCUUUCCCUGUUUUCUAUCAGAGAAGGUUCUGGUUUCUGAUGACUCCAACCUGCAUGCAGAUUACAUGCCAGCAGGGAGUUGAUGGCAACUGGAAUCGUGCCAACUUCACUUCCUACUGUGAUCCGACAGCCCUUGGCCUGCCCUCUAACCCUCUCCCCUCCAAAGUCGUCUCUCAAGCCUCAGUGGAACAAUCACAGCUCUUCCUCACAGCACAGGGCAACCUGGACCCGGUCUUACGGCUCUCCCAUCUGAUCUGGGAACUAGGACUGCUCAUCUACUAAGACUACAUUGAGGGGGCUGGGCGCGGUGGCUCACGCCUGUAAUCCCAGCACUUUGGGAGGCCAAGACAGGCAGAUCACCUAAGGUCAGGAGUUUGAGACCAGCCUGGCCAACAUGGUGAACCACGUCUCUACUAAAAAUACAAACUUAGCUGAGCAUGGUGGUGCAUGCCUGUAAUCUCAGCUACUUGGGAGGCUGAAGCAGGAGAAUCGCUUGAACCCAUGAGGUGGAGGUUGCAGUGAGCCGAGAUCGCGCCACUAUACUCCAGCCUGGGUGACAGAGCGAGACUCCGCCUCAAAAAAAAAAAAAAGAAAAGAAAAAAAGAAAAAACUUGGCAAUGACAGCACCAGGGCCUUCUCUGACAGCAGCCUGGAUGGAGAGUGAAUUACCCGGGAAAUGCAGCAGAGGCCGGGGUAGAACGAGGGUGCCCAGGCAGGAGCCAGGGUGACCCCAUCUACUCUCCGGUCACUGGGGGCUGGGACAGUGGUGGCGUUGUCUUCAAAGCAAGGUGAGCUUGACGGAGGCUGGGAUCCUCAGGACUGGGCUGCUGGCCUCUGCACUGUCGGUAUGAGGGCCAACAUGAUUACAUGUUCUUCUCUUAGUUUGGUCACAUUAUUUUGAGUCAUGUCACUCUCACCUGAAACUACAGCUAACAAUAAACUGACCUGUUAUCCACACCCGACUGGCAACUUAGACUGGGUGAAAUGGAUUGUGUUUUCUGAUCCCUCCUGUCAUACAGCUCGUAUGGGCUACAGACAAAUAUGAAUGCAUUAUUAACAAACCGGCAGACUGCGCAGGGGAGAGCGCAGAUGGCUGCAUAUGUUAAGAGCUGGAGGCAUUAAUUAUGAAGCAUCCUUAUCUUCUGGGGUUCACUCACGUCAUGACAGUACAAGUGUUUUCCUGGUAAAUCUACUGACAUUCUGUAAGUAAAGUCAACCUUCAGUGAGGCUUUCUUAAAUUCGAACCAAUUUAUCAAAAUAAAUACAAGUGAGGAUUUUCUUUAAGGUUCUAUUAAAUGUUUUAAUAAGCUUCCUUUUGGAAGGGGCCAAUUAAAUUAAUUAAUUAAACCAUGACAUUAAAAAAAGAAAAACAACCUAAUAAUGGUUCUGGCGAAGUAGAAUUUUAC